rnacentral:lncRNA from 1 species
AAAAACCAAGCAAAAAAUUAGAAAAAAGCACAAAAGAUUACCUCGCCGGGAUCUGGAAUUCUUGCCGGAAAAAUCAUAAGGUCUCGGAAAAUUCAAGCAACCUUGCCAGAAAACUCAUAAGGUCACUGGAAAAUUCAAGCAACCUCUCAGGAAUCUGGAAUUUCCAAAAUUCUAAUUUGGUACUUUUUCUUAUUUUUUUUUGUUUUAAAUUUUUUUUCUCGAUCAUUUCGAUGUUGCACUUGUUUUUUUCGUUUCCCCCAUGAAAUUGUUGUUGUUUGUGCUUGAUUUCUGUGGAUUUGAGCUUUAGGGUUUGUGUAUUCAUGAAUACUUAUGAACAUUUUUCCAGAUCUAUGUUUUUUGUUAGGUUUUGUUAUAAUUAUUAGUUUCUGAUGGUGAGAGAGCGUGAGUUUAACAAAGAUUUGUUAUUUUUUAUUUCAGAUUAAUGAUGAAUGAAUAUGAUAUUAGGAGAGAAGAAGAGGUUCAGUGUUGUUGUUAUGGUGUUAACGAGAUGGGAGUUUGAGCUAGG